rnacentral:rRNA from 1 species
GAUGAACGCUGGCGGCGUGCCUAAUACAUGCAAGUCGAGCGAAUGGAUUAAGAGCUUGCUCUUAUGAAGUUAGCGGCGGACGGGUGAGUAACACGUGGGUAACCUGCCCAUAAGACUGGGAUAACUCCGGGAAACCGGGGCUAAUACCGGAUAACAUUUUGAACCGCAUGGUUCGAAAUUGAAAGGCGGCUUCGGCUGUCACUUAUGGAUGGACCCGCGUCGCAUUAGCUAGUUGGUGAGGUAACGGCUCACCAAGGCAACGAUGCGUAGCCGACCUGGGAGGGUGAGCGGCCACACUGGGACUGAGACACGGCCCAGACUCCUACGGGAGGCAGCAGUAGGGAAUCUUCCGAAAUGGACGAAAGUCUGACGGAGCAACGCCGCGUGAGUGAUGAAGGCUUUCGGGUCGUAAAACUCUGUUGUUAGGGAAGAACAAGUGCUAGUUGAAUAAGCUGGCACCUUGACGGUACCUAACCAGAAAGCCACGGCUAACUACGUGCCAGCAGCCGCAGUAA